rnacentral:tRNA from 1 species
AUCGUGAUAGCUCAGUUGGUAGAGCAUCUGCCCGGCAAGCAGAAUGUCGCCGGUUCAAUUCCGGCUCACGGCG